GAUGAACGCUGACAGAAUGCUUAACACAUGCAAGUCGAGCGGCAGCGGGAAAGUAGCUUGCUACUUUUGCCGGCGAGCGGCGGACGGGUGAGUAAUGCCUGGGGAUCUGCCCAGUCGAGGGGGAUAACUACUGGAAACGGUAGCUAAUACCGCAUACGCCCUACGGGGGAAAGCAGGGGACCUUCGGGCCUUGCGCGAUUGGAUGAACCCAGGUGGGAUUAGCUAGUUGGUGAGGUAAUGGCUCACCAAGGCGACGAUCCCUAGCUGGUCUGAGAGGAUGAUCAGCCACACUGGAACUGAGACACGGUCCAGACUCCUACGGGAGGCAGCAGUGGGGAAUAUUGCACAAUGGGGAAACCCUGAUGCAGCCAUGCCGCGUGUGUGAAGAAGGCCUUCGGGGUU
rnacentral:rRNA from 1 species